rnacentral:rRNA from 1 species
CCCUUAGAUGUUCUGGGCCGCACGCGCGCUACGCUGAUGCAUUCAACGAGUCCAACCUUGACCGAGAGGUCCGGGUAAUCUUUGAAACUGCAUCGUGAUGGGGCUAGAUUAUUGCAAUUAUUAAUCUUCAACGAGGAAUGCCUAGUAAGCGUGAUUCAUCAAAUCGCGUUGAUUACGUCCCUGCCCUUUGUACACACCGCCCGUCGCUCCUACCGAUUGAGUGUGUUGGUGAGGAGUUUGGAUUGGCCUCGGAAGGUGGUUCGCCACCGUCCGUAGCUGAGAAGUUCUCCAAACCGCCCCACUUAGAGGAAGGAGAAGUCGUAACA